rnacentral:misc_RNA from 1 species
GAUGAAGAACGUAGUGAAAUGCGAUAAGUAAUGUGAAUUGCAGAAUUCAGUGAAUCAUCGAAUCUUUGAACGCAUCUUGCGCUCCUUGGUAUUCUGAGGAGCAUGCCUGUUUGAGUGUCAUCAAAUUCUCAACCACUUCUUUUGAUGUGGCUUUGGAUAUGGGGGGAUUUCUUUUUUGCAGGCUUCUGAAAAACAAAGUCGGCUCCCCUGAAAUGUAUUAGUGGUGUCUGAGCAGGAGACUACUAUGGGUGUGAUAAAUCUAUCUAUGCCUUGGUACAACUGCUAUGCCGCUUCUAGCGAGUGCAUUUGACAAAUUUGACCUCAAAUCAGGUAGGACUACCCGCUGAACUUAAGCAUAUCAAUAAGCGGAGGA